AAAGCUUUGCUAAUACCGCAUACGAUCUACGGAUGAAAGCAGGGGACCGCAAGGCCUUGCGCGAACGGAGCGGCCGAUGGCAGAUUAGGUAGUUGGUGGGAUAAAAGCUUACCAAGCCGACGAUCUGUAGCUGGUCUGAGAGGACGACCAGCCACACUGGGACUGAGACACGGCCCAGACUCCUACGGGAGGCAGCAGUGGGGAAUUUUGGACAAUGGGCGAAAGCCUGAUCCAGCCAUGCCGCGUGCAGGAUGAAGGCCUUCGGGUUGUAAACUGCUUUUGUACGGAACGAAAAGACUCUGGUUAAUACCUGGGGUCCAUGACGGUACCGUAAGAAUAAGCACCGGCUAACUACGUGCCAGCAGCCGCGGUAAUACGUAGGGUGCAAGCGUUAAUCGGAAUUACUGGGCGUAAAGCGUGCGCAGGCGGUUAUAUAAGACAGAUGUGAAAUCCCCGGGCUCAACCUGGGAACUGCAUUUGUGACUGUAUAGCUAGAGUACGGCAGAGGGGGAUGGAAUUCCGCGUGUAGCAGUGAAAUGCGUAGAUAUGCGGAGGAACACCGAUGGCGAANGCNAUCCCCUGGGCCUGUACUGACGCUCAUGCACGAAAGCGUGGGGAGCAAACAGGAUUAAAUACCCUGGUAGUCCACGCCCUAAACGAUGUCAACUGGUUGUUGGGUCUUCACUGACUCAGUAACGAAGCUAACGCGUGAAGUUGACCGCCUGGGGAGUACGGCCGCAAGGUUGAAACUCAAAGGAGUUGACGGGGACCCGCACAAGCGGUGGAUGAUGUGGUUUAAUUCGAUGCAACGCGAAAAACCUUACCCACCUUUGACAUGUACGGAAUCCUUUAGAGAUAGAGGAGUGCUCGAAAGAGAGCCGUAACACAGGUGCUGCAUGGCUGUCGUCAGCUCGUGUCGUGAGAUGUUGGGUUAAGUCCCGCAACGAGCGCAACCCUUGCCAUUAGUUGCUACGAAAGGGCACUCUAAUGGGACUGCCGGUGACAAACCGGAGGAAGGUGGGGAUGACGUCAAGUCCUCAUGGCCCUUAUAGGUGGGGCUACACACGUCAUACAAUGGCUGGUACAGAGGGUUGCCAACCCGCGAGGGGGAGCUAAUCCCAUAAAGCCAGUCGUAGUCCGGAUCGCAGUCUGCAACUCGACUGCGUGAAGUCGGAAUCGCUAGUAAUCGCGGAUCAGAAUGUCGCGGUGAAUACGUUCCCGGGUCUUGUACACACCGCCCGUCACACCAUGGGAGCGGGUUCUGCCAGAAGUANGUAGCCUA
rnacentral:rRNA from 1 species